UACGUAGGGGGCAAGCGUUGUCCGGAAUUAUUGGGCGUAAAGCGUGCGCAGGCGGCUUGCCAAGUCAGAUGUGAAAGCCCCGGGCUUAACCUGGGAACGGCGUUUGAAACUGGCAGGCUAGAGUUUGGCAGAGGGGGGUGGAAUUCCACGUGUAGCAGUGAAAUGCGUAGAGAUGUGGAGGAACACCGAUGGCGAAGGCAGCCCCCUGGGCCAAAACUGACGCUCAGGCACGAAAGCGUGGGGAGCAAACAGG
rnacentral:rRNA from 1 species